rnacentral:pre_miRNA from 1 species
AAGGGAGGAGGAAGCAGACGGAAUGCUGAGAGAGAGGAGGAAACCUCUAACUCUCUUCAGCAUUCCGUCUGCUUCCUCCUCUCCAGU